GUAGUGAGAGGGCUCAGUAGUGCUUUGCCAGCAUGAUUUUGGGGCAAUUUGGGGGCAGAUAUCGUGCACAAGCAGUGAGAUAUUUCCAUGCAUUUUACUUUCCGGACAUCACCAUGGAACAUAUGGGGGUUUGUGCCUGCAGGCCGGGAUGCUGCAGGACUCCCUGGUCCAUCACCGUUAUGUCUUGGAGCUGCUCCAGUCAGUGAAUGACUUUCUGUGCCUUGGAGUACGUUUUGGUUACUGAGACCCUCGAAUUCCCAUAUGAAUUGUAGCAGCAGCUAGUCAGUUUCUGCAGAGGAGACCGCAGGGACUGUGAUCGAGACCACGUUGAAUAUACGGAUCGUUCUGGGGAGCACUGCCAUUACAAGAGCGCUGUCUUCUGAUCCAGCAAUGUGCUUGGUUUGUCUGUCCAGGUGCCCUCACCUCCAGUGGCAUCCAUCCAGACACCGGAACUGACACUGGCCGUGCUCAGAACUGCCUCAGGCCUGAAGACACAACUGACAAAUAGAAGGGGACCACGCCCUGUUACAGCAGGUGCUCUCACUUUCUGGAUCCUUAUGUAACUGAGCGGUGUCAAUCAGGAUUGCCCGUUUUACAUUGUGUGGCGCUGCU